rnacentral:rRNA from 1 species
GCGGUGAAAUGCGUAGAUAUAUGGAGGAACACCAGUGGCGAAGGCGGCUCUCUGGUCUGUAACUGACGCUGAGGCUCGAAAGCGUGGGGAGCGAAUAGGAUUAGAUACCCUGGUAGUCCACGCCGUAAACGAUGAGUGCUAAGUGUUGGAGGGUUUCCGCCCUUCAGUGCUGCAGCAAACGCAUUAAGCACUCCGCCUGGGGAGUACGACCGCAAGGUUGAAACUCAAAGGAAUUGACGGGGGCCCGCACAAGCGGUGGAGCAUGUGGUUUAAUUCGAAGCAACGCGAAGAACCUUACCAGGUCUUGACAUCCUUUGACCACUCUAGAGAUAGAGCUUCCCCUUCGGGGGCAAAGUGACAGGUGGUGCAUGGUUGUCGUCAGCUCGUGUCGUGAGAUGUUGGGUUAAGUCCCGCAACGAGCGCAACCCUUAUUGUUAGUUGCCAUCAUUUAGUUGGGCACUCUAGCGAGACUGCCGGUGACAAACCGGAGGAAGGUGGGGAUGACGUCAAAUCAUCAUGCCCCUUAUGACCUGGGCUACACACGUGCUACAAUGGGAAGUACAACGAGUUGCGAAGUCGCGAGGCUAAGCUAAUCUCUUAAAGCUUCUCUCAGUUCGGAUCGUAGGCUGCAACUCGCCUACAUGAAGCCGGAAUCGCUAGUAAUCACGGAUCAGCACGCCGCGGUGAAUACGUUCCCGGGCCUUGCACACAC